AAAGUCUGACGGAGCAACGCCGCGUGAGUGAAGAAGGUCUUCGGAUUGUAAAGCUCUGUCGUUUGGGACGAACGUGGAUUGUAUAAAUAAUGCAAUCUAAUGACGGUACCAAAGGAGGAAGCCACGGCUAACUACGUGCCAGCAGCCGCGGUAAUACGUAGGGGGCUAGCGUUAUCCGGAUUUACUGGGCGUAAAGGGUGCGUAGGUGGUUUCUUAAGUCAGGAGUGAAAGGCUACGGCUCAACCGUAGUAAGCUCUUGAAACUGGGAAACUUGAGUGCAGGAGAGGAAAGUGGAAUUCCUAGUGUAGCGGUGAAAUGCGUAGAUAUUAGGAGGAACACCAGUAGCGAAGGCGGCUUUCUGGACUGUAACUGACACUGAGGCACGAAAGCGUGGGGAGCAAACA
rnacentral:rRNA from 1 species